AAGCAGUGAAUCAGACAUACCAGCGGCAGAAGCAAUAACGGGUGUCGUGGCAAGCGAAUAAGGCAAACAGGAAAAGUUCAGGAUCGUAUUUCAGGUAACGCUGGUUUUGGUAGACGCACAAGAGUGUGAUCUGUGAGAAGAGGAACAUCUGGCAUAGCAGAUACAGUCCAAAUCCCCAUCUACACAGCACUUUACAGUAUCAGACACUUAAUAAUGAGACACAGACCCAAGAACAUGAUGACAGACAGACAGGAGAAGUGAAGGGACAGGACCAGCAGUAGUUCUCCCAGGACGCUGUCUCUCGGGAUAUCGUGGUUGUUGAGGUGGCCGCUGACGUGGAAGCGUGGUCCACGGAUGCUGCGGUUGAGGCGGAUGCUGAAGAAGCGAGGAUUGAGGUGCAGUAUACCACUAGCACCCCCUACUGGUGUCCCCUGCAACAGCACAUCAUCUUUCUUCCUACAUGCUCCAUUACCUGGACAAUCAAUCCUCUGUGAGGCUGGCGAGCUGGAGACUGAAG